rfam:Strigamia maritima strain Brora ctg7180001212854, whole genome shotgun sequence.
UUCCAGGUAGCUUAAUGAUAAAGCAUUCAACCGGCAAUUGGGGGAUCUGGGUUCAAGUCCCGGCUCGCAAA